CCCAGGACGCGGGCUCUGCUGAUGCUGAGUGAGUGGGGAAGAGAAACUUGAAACUCCGUAUUGAAGACAGCCCAGUGAGGCCUGGAGACGUGGGCGGCCAUGCUCCAGUGCGGCGGGACAAUUAGGGAGGGGGUUCUCCAAAAGACUGUACUGUUCCCCUUGGUCUUGGCCAGGAAUGGGACCAAGGGGAAGAUCUGCCAGGAACUACAGCCAGGAAUCCUAUACUGAGUGAGGUGAGAUGAAGAGCACUGGACUUAGAAGCAAGGAGACCUGACAAUUAACAGCUGCGUGAUCCUGGAAAGUCAACUUUUUGGAGCCUGCUUCCUAGUCUGUCCAAUCAAGGAGUUGGACUUGAUCACAUCUAAGUUCCCUUCUGGCUCUAAAUCUAUGGUCCUAAUAUAAGUAACUGAGACCCCAAAAAGUUAAGUGACUUUCCCAAGGUCACAGAUCUACUAAGUCACAGACCUGGCACUAGAAUUCAGGUUUCUUGUCUCUUAGUUCCGCAUUACCCUAGUCAAUCCCAAUUGUCCUAGCUGAUAUGAUUGAGCAGAAAUCCCCCUUAGGUGCUGAAAUGGCUGCAAUGAUUGGGUCGGUUAUGCUGUUGGCACAGACCUAGCAUGUCUCUAAAUAAGACAAGAAGAGAGACAAGGCAGUCACUAGGACACUUCAACUGAUUGCUACCAAGAUCACCCAACUAUUGCAAGGAGACUAUUAAAGAAGAAGAAGGAGAGGAGGAGGAGGAGGAGGAAGAGAUAGAGAUGUUUUUUGUGGGACAAUGAGGGUUAGUGACUUGUCCAGGGUCACACAGCCAGUAAGUGUCAAGUGUCUGGGGUAGGAUUUGCACUCAGGUCCUCCUGAAUUCGGGGCCGAUGGUUUAUCCACUGCACCACCUAGCUGCCCUUCAUUUGUGCAUUCUUAAUAGAGUCAGAGGGGCUUUUUGAGACAUUUUUACUUAGGGGGCCCAGAAUAUCAAUUCCUGAUGCUUUCCUUCAGGAAAAAGCAGGGAUCUGCAGCAUGAGUUCUCCAAUUCGACCCUUGGCACCAGUUAAAUCCACAAGAUAACCACUUAGCAUCCAUUUUACUUUGCCUAUUGUACUUCCAAGCUAAAUCACCCACCAACAAUCCAGUUUUUCUUCUUUCAUUUCCUUUUUUUUUUUUUUUUUGAAACCAAAAGAAAGCCUUCAGUAAUGCAUGGGUCUCAUGAAUUUCUAGAAGGGUGUGAAGGAUUGGAACAGGAUAGGAAGGUGUGAAUGAGCUGCAAUCUGCACUGGUAGAGAGGGUAUUCGCACCACUGAGAUCACGGACCCCUCAAAGUAUGAAGUGUUUAUUUUUCAUUUCAAAAUUCUCAGCUGUUCCCGUUAAAAAAAUAAUGAGCAAACCCUGAUGAACUAAAAAGGCUGCAGGGCACAAAAUUGUUCACGAUUAUUAUUUUGACUCAUAAUGCUCUUUUGGAACAAUUUUUAAUUAAGUGGGAUGUGCCAGUAACUUCAAAUGAGUUUACCAACUUCCUCUCAAAGUCCUCUGAUUAAAGGAGGCCCAAAUGUGUAACCACAAACAGAGUACAUGACAUUAUAAUACAAAUGACUGUCUGUUGCUAUUUUUAAAUAAUGUUUAUUAGAAUCUGUUGGCAUGCAAUAAAUGUACUUUAUAGUC